rnacentral:rRNA from 1 species
GAGUUUGAUCAUGGCUCAGGAUGAACGCUAGCGGCAGGCUUAACACAUGCAAGUCGAGGGGCAUCGGGAGGGAAGCUUGCUUUCCUUGCCGGCGACCGGCGCACGGGUGAGUAACACGUAUGCAACCUGCCCUCUUCAGGGGGACAACCUUCCGAAAGGGAGGCUAAUCCCGCGUAUAUCGGUUUCGGGCAUCCGAGAUCGAGGAAAGAUUCAUCGGAAGAGGAUGGGCAUGCGGCGCAUUAGCUUGACGGCGGGGUAACGGCCCACCGUGGCGACGAUGCGUAGGGGUUCUGAGAGGAAGGUCCCCCACACUGGUACUGAGACACGGACCAGACUCCUACGGGAGGCAGCAGUGAGGAAUAUUGGUCAAUGGGAGAGAUCCUGAACCAGCCAAGCCGCGUGAGGGAAGACGGCCCUAUGGGUUGUAAACCUCUUUUGUCGGAGAACAAAACCCGGGACGUGUCCCGGACUGCGUGUAUCCGAAGAAAAAGCAUCGGCUAACUCCGUGCCAGCAGCCGCGGUAAUACGGAGGAUGCGAGCGUUAUCCGGAUUUAUUGGGUUUAAAGGGUGCGUAGGCGGUCCGUUAAGUCAGCGGUAAAAUUGCGGGGCUCAACCCCGUCGAGCCGUUGAAACUGGCAGACUUGAGUUGGCGAGAAGUACGCGGAAUGCGCGGUGUAGCGGUGAAAUGCAUAGAUAUCGCGCAGAACUCCGAUUGCGAAGGCAGCGUACCGGCGCCAGACUGACGCUGAGGCACGAAAGCGUGGGGAUCGAACAGGAUUAGAUACCCUGGUAGUCCACGCAGUAAACGAUGAAUGCUGGUUGUCCGGGUCGAAUGAGAUCUGGGCGGCGAAGCGAAAGCGAUAAGCAUUCCACCUGGGGAGUAUGCCGGCAACGGUGAAACUCAAAGGAAUUGACGG